CGGCGCGGGAGGGAAAAGAGGUUUGAGGGGCUAGGCCGGGCGGAUCCCGUCCUCCCCCGAUGUGAGCAGUUUUCCGAAACCCCGUCAGGCGAAGGCUGCCCAGAGAGGUGGAGCCGGUAGCGGGGCCGGGAACAUGAGGCAGUCUCUCCUAUUCCUGACCAGCGUGGUUCCUUUCGUGCUGGCGCCGCGACCUCCGGAUGACCCGGGCUUCGGCCCCCACCAGAGACUCGAGAAGCUUGAUUCUUUGCUCUCAGACUACGAUAUUCUCUCUUUAUCUAAUAUCCAGCAGCAUUCGGUAAGAAAAAGAGAUCUACAGACUUCAACACAUGUAGAAACACUACUAACUUUUUCAGCUUUGAAAAGGUAAUUU
rnacentral:lncRNA from 1 species